UCUGAAUGCCAGGGAAAGCAAUAGUUAAGGACUUUGGGAAAGUCAUGUACACACUGCUACAUUUGAAAUGGAUAACCAACAAAAAUCUAUUGUAUGGCACACGGGACUCUGCUCAAUGGUAUGUGCCAGCCUGGAGCCGGGUGGUGUUUGGGGGAGAAUGGAUACAAG